rnacentral:tRNA from 1 species
GCGAGAGUGGCGAAAUUGGCAGACGCGUCAGACUUAGGAUCUGAUGGUUCACAACCGUGUGGGUUCGAGUCCCACCUCUCGCA